GUGUCAGCCGCCGCGGUAAUACGUAGGGUACAAGCGUUGUCCGGAAUUAUUGGGCGUAAAGAGCUCGUAGGUGGUUGGUCACGUCUGCUGUGGAAACGCAACGCUUAACGUUGCGCGUGCAGUGGGUACGGGCUGACUAGAGUGCAGUAGGGGAGUCUGGAAUUCCUGGUGUAGCGGUGAAAUGCGCAGAUAUCAGGAGGAACACCGGUGGCGAAGGCGGGACUCUGGGCUGUAACUGACACUGAGGAGCGAAAGCAUGGGGAGCGAACAGGAUUAGAUACCCUGGUAGUCCAUGCCGUAAACGUUGGGCACUAGGUGUGGGGGACAUUCCACGUUCUCCGCGCCGUAGCUAACGCAUUAAGUGCCCCGCCUGGGGAGUACGGUCGCAAGGCUAAAACUCAAAGAAAUUGACGG
rnacentral:rRNA from 1 species